rnacentral:lncRNA from 10 species
CUCACAUCCACCUUGUGUUGGUACAGAAGAAUAUGUAAAGAGACACUGAGUGAAUCAAGACAUACACGAGACAUGUGAAAAAGACAUACAGGAGAAUAUGUAAAGAGACACACCUGAGUGAAACAAGAUAAGAGUAAAAAAAAAAAAAAGCUGAAGUACCAUGGUGUGAUCUCAGUCUCACUGCAACCUCCGUCUCCCAGACUCAAGCGAUCAUCCCACCUCAGCCUCCCAAGUAGCUGGGACCUCAGGUGCACACCACCACGCCUGGUUAAUUUUUGGCUUUUUUUUUUUUUAAUAGGGAUGGGGGUCUCAUCAUGUUGCCCAGGCUGGUCUCGAACUGUGGCGCUCAAGCGAUCUGCCCGCCUCGGCCUUCCAGGCGUGAGCCACUGCGCCUGGCCUGAACUCUUUUAAACAACCUGCUCUUGAGUGAACUCUGAGUGAAAACCAUAAAGUGAACUCAUUACCGUGAGAAGGGCACCAAGCCAUUUAUGAUGGAUCCUCCCCCAUGACCCAAACACCUCCCACCAGACCCCACCUCCAACACCGGGGAUUACAUUUCAACAAGAGAUUUGGAGGCGACAAAACAUCCAAACCACGUCAAGUAGUUGCCCAGAGCUGGGGGAAUUUGGGGAAAAAUGGGAGUGACUGCUAGUGGGUAUAGAGUUUCCUUCUGGGGUUAUGACCUGUUCAAAAAUCGAUUAUGGUGAUGGUUACACAACUCUGUGAAUUCAUUAAAAAUGACUGAAUUGUACACUUUAUUUGGGUGAAUUCUGUGGUAUGCAAAUUUGGUAAGAAAUAAACUCAGAGACAAAAUGCUCUUUGAUUAAAUGCAAUGGAAAGUGAAACAUUUGUUUCUUCUCUGAACUUGAAACGUUAGAAGUCCACGAAAACCAAGAUUUCAAAGGAAUGGGAAAAUGUAUAUUUGGAGCCACCAACAACUGGGGACAAUACUCACUCUAGAACUUGGAUCAGAAAUGCAAUACAUUCAGACUAAUUUUUUUACUUAUUUAUUUUUUGUUUGAGACAGAGUCUUGCACUGUCACCUGGACUGGAGUGCAAUGGCAUGAUCCUGGGUCACUGCAACCUCCACCUCCCACAUUCAAGUGAUUCUCCUUGCCUCAGCCUCCCAAGUAGCUGAGAUUACAGGUGCACGCCACCAUGUCUGGCUAAUUUUUUUGUAUUUUUAGUACAGACGGGAUUUCACUAUGUUGGCCAAGCUGGUCUCCAACUCCUGACCUUGUGAUCCACCUGCCUCGGCCUCCCAAAGUGCUGGGAUUACAGGCAUAAGCCACUGUGCCCGGCCAUUCAGACUAAUUUUUAAGGCACCAUCCACAAA